GAUGAACGCUGGCGGCGUGCCUAAUACAUGCAAGUCGAGCGAACAGAUGAGGAGCUUGCUCCUCUGACGUUAGCGGCGGACGGGUGAGUAACACGUGGAUAACCUACCUAUAAGACUGGGAUAACUUCGGGAAACCGGAGCUAAACCGGAUAAUAUAUUGAACCGCAUGGUUCAAUAGUGAAAGACGGUUUUGUUGUCACGUAUAGAUGGAUCCGCGCCGCAUUAGCUAGUUGGUAAGGUAACGGCCUACCAAGGCAACGAUGCGUAGCCGACCUGAGAGGGUGAUCGGCCACACUGGAACUGAGACACGGUCCAGGCUCCUACGGGAGGCAGCAGUAGGGAAUCUUCCGCAAUGGGCGAAAACCUGACGGAGCAACGCCGCGUGAGUGAUGAAGGUCUUCGGAUCGUAAAACUCUGUUAUUGGGGAAGAACAAAUGUGUAAGUAACUAUGCACGUCUUGACGGUACCUAAUCAGAAAGCCACGGCUAACUACGUG
rnacentral:rRNA from 1 species